GUUCUAUUAUUUGCAAUCAGUAACAAAGAUUCAUCCUGUGUCAAUUGCACAACACGGAGAGUCUUUGUCACUCAGUGUGAUUAAUAGCCUUCCACU
ensembl:miRNA Mir802 microRNA mir-802